rnacentral:rRNA from 1 species
CCCUUAGAUGUUCUGGGCUGCACACGUGCUACACUGGCAGGUUCAGCGAGCUUCAAGCCCUGAUCUGAAAGGAAUGGGAAAUCUUUUCAAAACCUGCCGUGCUUGGGAUAGAUGUUUGCAAUUAUUCAUCUUCAACGAGGAUUGCCUUGUAAGCGCACGUCAUCAGCGUGCAUUGAAUACGACCCUGUAUUCUGUACACACCGCCCGUCGCUCCUACCGAUUGAAGUUUUCGGUGAGUUGACAGGAGGAUUUUUUUGAAACUGGUUCGCCAGUGGAUUUUAGAUCCAAAUGCCAACGAAUCGAUGGCUUUAGAGGAAGGAGAAGUCGUAACA